CCUACGGGGGGCAGCAGUGGGGAAUAUUGGACAAUGGGGGGAACCCUGAUCCAGCCAUGCCGCGUGUGUGAAGAAGGCCCUCGGGUUGUAAAGCACUUUCAGUGAGGAAGAACGCCUGGUGGUUAAUACCCAUCAGGAAAGACAUCACUCACAGAAGAAGCACCGGCUAACUCCGUGCCAGCAGCCGCGGUAAUACGGAGGGUGCGAGCGUUAAUCGGAAUUACUGGGCGUAAAGCGCGCGUAGGUGGCUUGAUAAGCCGGUUGUGAAAGCCCCGGGCUCAACCUGGGAACGGCAUCCGGAACUGUCAAGCUAGAGUGCAGGAGAGGAAAGUAGAAUUCCCGGUGUAGCGGUGAAAUGCGUAGAGAUCGGGAGGAAUACCAGUGGCGAAGGCGGCCUUCUGGACUGACACUGACACUGAGGUGCGAAAGCGUGGGUAGCAAACAGGAUUAGAUACCCGUGUAGUC
rnacentral:rRNA from 1 species